rnacentral:rRNA from 1 species
UACGUAGGGUGCGAGCGUUGUCCGGAUUUAUUGGGCGUAAAGAGCGUGUAGGCGGCCAGACAGGUCUGCUGUGAAAACUCGAGGCUCAACCUCGAGACGCCGGUGGAAACCGUCUGGCUAGAGUCCGGAAGAGGAGAGUGGAAUUCCUGGUGUAGCGGUGAAAUGCGCAGAUAUCAGGAAGAACACCCGUGGCUAAGGCGGCUCUCUAGUACGGUACUGACGCUGAGACGCGAAAGCGUGGGGAGCGAACAGG